AUGGAUCUUUGUUCCCUGACCAGGGACCCAGCCCUCGGAUUCUUAACCACUGGACCACCACAGAAGUCCCUGGAAUUUAGAAACCUUUCAUCUGGGGCAAAACAGCCAGUUUCUCAGCUGUUCCAAGAACUGAGUCUCUCCAUAAAAUCAGCAAUUGAAAGGACCUUGGCCCAGCGUUUAUUUCUGUGUGUUAAAAUGGAACAAUCUGGGACUUCCCUGGUGGUCCAGUGGCUGAGACUCUACAACCCCAGUGCAGGGGAACCUCAAUUACCUCAAGUGAGAAACAGGUAUGAACCACCACAGCAGAGGCCAUGGGGAUGAGGAACCAGGCCAAUUCAAGAACUGUUCAGGAGUUAAAUCCACAGAAAGCACAGUCCUUGCAACCAUUCUAAGUACUGACUACCACUGAUGAGUGUAAAUUUCUUUUAUUUCUUGGAUAAAUUCUAAGAACUGAAUAACUUAUAUAUUCUACAGUAUCUACUAAAAAUACCUUCAUGUUGAACAAAUCUGACGUUGGGAUAUGCCCCUGUAGGUGUGUGUGUGUGUGUGUGUGUGUGUGUGAAAUUUGAAGAAUUUGAGGAAAGAGGCCUAUUAACACAAGAUCAGAAGCACAGAUCUGGAAUAAUAAUAAUAAUAUUAAGACAGCCAGAGUCUCUUAAGAUGCCCUAUAUAUUGAGGAAACAGAGUGGGGUGUGGGGGAGCUGUAAUUUAGGCAGAGAUAAGUGUGAGAACAAGGUCAUGGCUGAUACAAAAUUCUAUAAAAACACUCCCUAUACAACAUCAAACCUUUAUUAGUCUUAAAAAAUUUUUUGGGGGGCUAUGCCAUAGGUCAUGCAGGAUCUUAGCUCCCCAACCAGGCAGAGUCUUAUCCACUGGACUGCCAGGAAAGUUCCCAACAUCAAACCUUUAGAUUUAACUCCUAGUUUACAAGAAAAAUAGUGACUGAAGCAAAUGUGAAAUGACAUCGUAAGGAUGCAACUGGCCAAGUCCAGAAUGUGGAAAGUUCUUAAGAUAUGUAAUCUGGUUUCUUCAACAAAUAGACUGUGUGUGAAAAAGGAAGGAAGACAAAAAAAAGGAAGGGAAAAUGUUAUACAUGAAAAGAAACUUGAGAGACAUAUUUAUCAAUCAAGUGCAAAGUGGAGAUCCCGAUUCAGAUAAAUAGGGUAUGAAAUAAUAUUUUGGAAACUAUUGGGGAAAAAACUGAACAUGAGUUGGCUAUUAAAUCAUAUUAAGGACAUAUUGUAAAGGUGUGAUAAAGAAAUCAUGGUUAUGUUAAAAGUAUUUAUUAGAGAUACAUAUUCAGUUCAGUUGCUCAGUUGUGUCUGACUCUUUGCGACCCCAUGGACUGCAGCACGCCAGGCUUCCCUGUCCAUCACCAACUCCCAGAGCCUGCUCAAACUCAUGUCCAUCGAGUCAGUGAUGCCAUCCAACCAUCUCAUCCUCUGUCAUCCCCUUCUCCUGCCUUCAAUCUUUCCCAGCACCAGGGUCUCUUCCAAUGAGUUACUUCUUCUCAUCAGGUGCCCAAAGUAUUAGAGAUUCAGCUUUAUCAUCAGUCCUUCCAAUGAAUAUUCAGGACUGAUUUCCUUUAGGAUUGACCAGUUUGAUCUCCUUGCAGUCCAAGGGACUCUCAAGAGUCUUCUCCAACACCACAGUUCAAAAGCAUCAAUUCUUUGGCACUCAGAUACCAGAGAUAUCAGAAAACAGAGAUACAUAUUAAAGUAAAUAUUUACAGGUGAAGUGUUACCAUGGUUUAUUAGAGAUUUACUUAAAAGUGCAUGGGGGUGGACUUCCCUAGUGGUACUGGAUAAGAAUGGACCUGCCAAUGCAGGGGACAGGGGUUCCAUCCCUGGUCAAGGAAGAUUCACCUGCCACAGAGUAACUGAGUCCAUGCGCCACAAAUAUCGAGCCCGCAUGCUACAACUACUGAAGCCUGUGCACCUAGAGCCUGUGCUCUACAACGAGAGAGACGCUGCUGCAAUGAGAAGCCCAUGCUCAAAAGAGUAGCCCCUGCUCACCUCAACUAGAGAAAGCCUGUAUGCAGCAAGAAGACCCAGCACAGCCAAACAAAUAAACCCCCACUGGGGUGAGGGAGAAGGUUGUGGGAGAACAGGUGAAACAAGAAUGACGAAGUGUGAUAACCAGUGAAGUUGGGAUAAUGGUCACGAGGUUUACUAUUCUGACUCCUUUUUUUGUUUGAAAUUUUCUAAAAAAAAUUAAGAACAAAGAUUACAGGAAAGCAUGAAUCUCUUUCCAUUCCCAACUGUAUAAAGUAGCCAGAAGAGAACAUUCUUGCUGUAACACUUUCAGAAAAUGGGAUCAGGAUUGGAGGGCAUUAUUUAAGGAGUAUGUGGCGGGAGAGGGGCUCCAGGAACAGGACGGUACAAGAAAAACUGUUUCUGAGCAGUGCUGAAAGAGCCAUGCUGCUGCUGCUGCUGCUAAGUCACUUCAGUCGUGUCCAACUCUGUGUGACCCCAUAGACAGCAGCCCACCAGGCUACUCCCUCCCUGGGAUUCUCCAGGCAAGAACACUGGAGUGGGUUGCCGUUGGAACACAGAUUUCAAGAUGAAAGGAGUAUCAACUAUGCCAACUAUUGUAGAUGUCAAGAAGAAAGGGAUCAAAAUGAAAACUCCACUAGAUAUGACUAGGAAGUCACUCUUGACCUUGGCAGGAUCGAAGUUUUCAUUUUCAGUUGAGGUGGGAUGAUAUACAACUUUUCCACGAACUUGUCUAUGAAGGAGAGGUAAGGUGAAGAUUGUAAUCUCUCCUUCAACCUCAAAGAAGAAGAAAUUAGGGCAUUUUUUGUGUUUUUCAUGUUGAGGGGAAGUUGCCCCUUUGAGAAUGAUUGAUGAUAUAGAUGAAAAGAGUAAUGACUGACUGAUUUGCAAAGCAAGGAGUCUUACUAGGAGAGGGAACAUUGAGAACAAAUUAUACAUACAUCCUGCUGAAGCAGAGAGCUAGUUUUUUUCUGAUCACAGCCAAUGUACUUGCCUAGUUUAACUUCCAAUUAUUGUUCUGGUGUACAUAUUCACUCACAAGUCCCACACGGCAGAUCUAUUUAUCUCAGUUUUAUACACUGAAGAAAAAAGAUUUUUUUUAUGACUGCACUUUAGGCAUACCUUUUGGUUCUUGAAUAAAAUUGCUCUCUUUGUGGCCUACUGAAGAGGUUUUCCCCUUUAAAAGGUUUUCGUUACAAAAACUGAGCAGCACUACGUCUUCUCUUGGAACUCUCCAGUUUGUUUACUGUUCUUAUUACUCAGCCUACUCACUCUACAAAAACUUUUCAAGAAUUUCUCCUUUUUCUACCAUCGCUAACAUAUAGGACGGUGUAGAUUUGUAUUUCUCUUAUUACCGUUCCAAAAAUUAUUAUAAACUUUUCGAAUCUGAAAAACUCAAUUAUGUACUGAUUAAGCUGACCAGCUUAUCUCCGAAUUCCAAGGAGGGAUGGAAGUAAGGUGUGUAAGAAGGGGAUUAUUCAACACGUCAGGGAAAACUUCAUUCUCAGGUUUAUUGGGGAGGGGGGUGCACAUACUUUGGGGGUGGGAAAAGCAGAGGCGGAGGAGAGCAGAUAAGCUCUUCUUCCUUAGGUUUCAGGGUGAAAUAAACGCACCUGACGCCCGCGUGGCAGAAGAGCUCCGCCAGCUGAGCGAGCCAGGGCUGGACAGAGGCUGUAAACUCGGGGACACGCGUGAGACUCCGCCCAGUGUAAGCACUCGCGCGUUCCCGUGAGGGCGUGCACGCGUACGCAGUUUUGUCUCGCGCAGGGUCGAGCCUGUCAGGCGGGAAAUCUCGCGAGAUCGGAGACUGGGAUGACUGUCGGGAGGAGGGGAGUGGUGUCGGGGAAGGGGGGGAAUCUGGGCAGCGGCCGGGCUCUGUGGCUUCAGGGCUCGGAGAGAGAGAGGGAGGGUGGCAAAGAGAGUGAGUCGGUGCCGCCGCCUGCCUAAGCAGAGAGGAGGGGUCCCGCUUGCCUGCGCCCUUCGCGGGCCGAGAGCGCGAGGCACCCGCAACCUCUGAGGCCUCCGGCCCCUGGUGACCCC
rnacentral:lncRNA from 1 species